CCUAUCCUUAGUCUCUUCCUUGUUUUCAACGUUGCUGUCAUUAAUAACGUCAAAAUAUUUCUUGCUGCCAAAUACGGGCUUUUUUGAUGCUGGACGUUCAGCAUUUCUUACAUUAUUCUUUGAUGUGGACAUUGUAGAUGGUGAUUGCACAUCCAUAACACCAGCAUUGGACUUAGUGGCUCUUCCAGUAAAUGCAAACUGUGUUCUUCGUUUAAAAUUAUUUUUCCUCAGACUCUCGUUCUCGGUAUCCUUCCUCGUUGAUCUGGCAUCGAUUAUUUGUGUUCUGUUACGCGGAGUGCGAAGUGGGGAUUUUUCUUUUAGCUGAACACGCCGUUUAUCCCUUUUCUCAAAAGAAGAACUCUUUUUCUUUUUCUCUUCCAUUGUUUCUUUAAUGGAAGAAAGCAAUGAAUCGAAAGAUCGUCCACCAAAAAUCAAUUCAGAGCCUUCGGAUCGUAAAGCUGGUUGGGUAGAAAAUUGAUGGAUAUUAAAUCUAAUGCUUUGGAAAU